CGACAUCAUCUCGCACGCCGCCUACCCAGAUUUCGGGGCACAGAGCGUCCACCUGCCGACAAUACGAUCGCCUCCGGCGGUGCAACUUCAGCGACGAAGGAGCGAAGACAUUUACAGGAGAACGCUGGAGGUGAUGUCGCCGCACGCGCUGUCGCUGGCCACGUCUCGGACGUCGCUACACGCGCCAGCCUGCCGCCUCAGCGGGGCGGCCCUGGCCUGUUCUUCGGAGACGCUG